AGGCCUAGGUCGGCUUACAUGAAGGGGGGGCCGUAUACUUAGUUUGCAACUCCCAUGACGUUGUAGGUUACACAAGAAGCAACCCUAUACUCCUCCUCCUUUUCUACACCUCGAUGGCAGCAAGAAGAAGCCCUUCACUCGGUCGCGCCAUCCGAAGACUCUUUGAUACGAAGGCCCACUCUCUAAUUCCUUUUCGGUCGUGUGUAACGGACCUCCCUAGUAUUUAACGUGUAAAGGCACAUUAUCAAACCGAGCAAGCUAAGGUCGUUAGCUGUUUGCAUUGGAACUUGCUGUCUGG